rnacentral:tRNA from 1 species
CACCCCUAACUCCCAAAGCUAGGAUUCUAAACUAAACUAUUCU